rnacentral:rRNA from 1 species
CUUGGUCAUUUAGAGGAAGUAAAAGUCGUAACAAGGUCUCCGUAGGUGAACCUGCGGAGGGAUCAUUACACAAAUAUGAAGGCGGGCUGGAACCUCUCGGGGUUACAGCCUUGCUGAAUUAUUCACCCUUGUCUUUUGCGUACUUCUUGUUUCCUUGGUGGGUUCGCCCACCACUAGGACAAACAUAAACCUUUUGUAAUUGCAAUCAGCGUCAGUAACAAAUUAAUAAUUACAGCUUUCAACAACGGAUCUCUUGGUUCUGGCAUCGAUGAAGAACGCAGCGAAAUGCGAUACGUAGUGUGAAUUGCAGAAUUCAGUGAAUCAUCGAAUCUUUGAACGCACAUUGCGCCCCUCGGUAUUCCGUGGGGCAUGCCUGUUCGAGCGUCAUCUACACCCUCAAGCUCUGCUUGGUGUUGGGCGUCUGUCCCGCCUCGGCGCGCGGACUCGCCCCAAAUGCAUUGGCAGCGGUCUUUGCCUUCUCUCGUGCAGCACAUUGCGCUUCUCGAGGUGUCGCGGACACGCGUCCAGUAAGCAACAUUUUACCGUCUUUGACCUCGGAUCAGGUAGGGAUACCCGCUGAACUUAAGCAUAUCAAUAAGCGGAGGA